GGGGUCACUCAUUGGUCACUCAGUGGUCACUCAUUGGUCACUCAUUGGUCACUCAGGGGUCACUCAUUGGUCACUCAGGGUCACUCAGGGGUCACUCAUUGGUCACUCAUUGGUCACUCAUUGGUCACUCAUUGGUCACUCAGGGGUCACUCAGGGUCACUCAGGGGUCACUCAGGGGUCAGAGGUCACUCGGGGGUCACUCAGGGGUCAGGGGUCACUCACCCAGGGCCAGGCUCAGGUGGUCGCCCAUCCCCUGCAGUUGCGCGAAGCAAACGGAGCCGGGGGGCACCUGGGACAUCCUGGGGGAGGUUUUGGGGUCAAACCGGGGCUUUUUGGGCAAAAUCACCCCCAAAAAAAUGUCCCAAAAAUGUCACCAAAGAAUCAAAAAAAAUCACCAAAAACUGAUCCCUAAAAAUGCCAAAAUAUUACCAAAAAAUCACCAGGAAUCACAAAAAAAAAAUCCUUAAAAAAAAAGUCUAAAUUUUCCAAAAAAAAAAAAAAAACCAACAACAACAACAAAAAAAACCAAAAUCCUCCUUAAAAAUCCCAAAAUAUCCCUAAAAAAUUCCCGCUGAAUCCCCAGAAAAAUUCCCAAAAAAAUCACCAAAAAUCACGUGAAAAUCUCAAAAUAGCACCAAAAAAGUCACAAAAAAAUCACCAAAAAAUUCCCAAAGAAUCACCCAAAAAUUCAGA
rnacentral:lncRNA from 1 species